UACGUAGGGUGCAAGCGUUAAUCGGAAUUACUGGGCGUAAAGCGUGCGCAGGCGGUUAUGUAAGUCAGAUGUGAAAUGCCCGGGCUUGACCUGGGAACUGCAUUUGUGACUGCAUGGCUAGAGUUUGGCAGAGGGGGGUAGAAUUCCACGUGUAGCAGUGAAAUGCGUAGAGAUGUGGAGGAACACCGAUGGCGAAGGCAGCCUUCUGGGCCAACACUGACGCUCAUGCACGAAAGCGUGGGGAGCAAACAGG
rnacentral:rRNA from 1 species